CUGGAAUCUUUCUGUGGGAAUGAGAAAGAACAGACGAGAUGGUUGAAGUACAGGGAGUGUAAAUGAAUGGUUGUUAAGCUGAGGACUUCCUGGAGAUGCAGCCCAAGACAAUUCCCCAUCACUCAGUGCGGCCCAGCUUUCUCAGGUAUUCCUGGUUUGAGAAGUGCCCUACCUGACCUAAAGUGGGGAUCAACUGGACGACUGGGACGGCAAUCUUCCUCAGUCUCAACGGUCCUCAGCUGCACUGCGCAGUCUCUGCAUGUAUAACUGGCAGAAACAUCGGCCAUUAUAGAACAAGUAGAGAACUUCAGGUGGAGAAAAGUUCUUGUGGUUCAUUGACAGGUCAGCAACUGUGGGGACUUUCAGGACCUUGGACAGCUCAAACCUCAAAGGGGCUCUCUUGGGAUGUAUCUUCUGAUACAGGGGUCCUCAACCUUGGCAACUUCAAGACUUGUGGACUUCAACUCCCAGAAUCCACCCAAAACAUCAGAGUAUCUCACAUUGCAAUAAAACAAGGUUCCUCCGAGGUAACUGUAUUUAAAGCCGUGUAUGCAAAUUUUGUUUUGUAUUAAGGCACACCCACCCAGAACAUCUAGUGGUCCUGUGGUCAAUUACAGGGCUUUCAAUUCUGGGAAAGCUUGGCUUAUUAUGACCCUUUCCUGAAAUCUGAAUUUCAGCCCCAUCCUGGCAACUGGGAAAUUCCCAGUGCACUUUUAAGGAUCUCAUUUCAAUCAAUUCAACAAAAGUAAAAAAAAACACAAAAACCCUGAAUUGAGACAAAAACAGGCGGAGAAACGAAGUCUUGUAAGAAAGAAACGUUUUUCCUCUUUGCAAAGACAUAUUUUUCCAGUCUUUCUUUUCCUGUAUUUUUUUUCAGCAAACGUUUUUAUUCAUUUUCAUUUCCAGAAGAGAAGGUCACAAUAGAGGAAGAUUGAGUGAUAAUUUAAUCAAAAGGAGGAAAAGAGAGGGAAAAAAACAACAACCCCAAGAUGGCUAACAUUCUAUGAAAAAAGAAAAAAAAAACGUUCACAUAAUUUUUCUUCUUGGCGCACAGAAACAAAUCUCAAAGGUUCAAAACAAAACAAGGCACAUUACAGCUCAGUAAAGAAAAGGCAGUUUUUUUUUUCCCUUCCGAUUUUGGUCACACUUUCAUCCAAGUCCUGGCAGUUGCAAACAAGCUUGUUUCUUCCCCCCCACCCCAUGACACAAGAACCUUUGUGCAGGCUGCUGGAAGUGAGAGUAGGCCAUGUAACACUUCCAGAGGAGGAAGAAGAAGAGCUGCAACCAAGAAAAAAAAAUGACACAGGGACAUGAUUGUCUAUACCUUGAGCCGCAACUUAAGGAGGACACGUGGGCCUUCAUUAACAUGCUAGAAAUGAGCUUUGAAGACGCCCUUCAGAAGACACCCCAAAGUUCAGGCUUCACCCUUUUAAUCUCCCAGAGCAACUGUUGGUGGCAGUUGCGAUGGAGGGGAAAAGGCACAGCACGACAAUAUGCCAAAUAUAGAGAUGAACCUCCGGAGAGAAGGAAGGUGGAAGUAAGAGGUUAAGGUUGAAAUCCACAGGAGCUGAUUCUGCUCUGAAGACUGGAGAAACAAAAUAAAUAAGUAAGGUUUGUCCAUCAGCAGAAAACAAAACCCAGCACGGAUCUAGACAAAUUGACAAAUUUCUCAAAAAGAGUUUAAGAAAGUGACAGACAGGGAAGGAUUUCAAACUGAGACAAGUAGAUUUAUACAGCUUGGACAAAACUAACCGGAGGAGGAACAUACUUUCUGGUUAACAACUGAACACUUGUUAAACUCAACAUGCUAGCUAGGUUAUGACAUCGUAUGAAGUCCAGGAGAAAUUAGACAUAACAAACCAUGAUGCUGGUAACAAGCAGCCCGUUUCCUUCACUCUUCAAGCAAGCAAAUAAAAGCAGGACAGAUUUGUAUGUCAAGCCCAAGCGUGUAGACAAAUUACGCAGAAGCUGGCUUAAACUAGGAUCUCAAGACAUCUACGUUCAAAAACGGAGAAAGGAAUCUAGAGAGACCCAGAUCCCAGCAACUUUGGAGUUCACACAGAUUCCAAGACAAAGAGGUUGCCCAUGUGUGCACUUUCAGAUUUUUCCAAUUCAUCUGUUGCUCUCAAAAUUCAGAUUUCUCCACUGCCUUGUCGCGUGCUGUCAAUAUGCAACCGACUGUGAUCUACUAAGCCAGGAUUCCUGGCUUCACACAGCUUUUAAAAAUGGCCCCAAAAGACAGAGAAAGCUUUCUCUUCCCUUCUCUCUCUCCUUGGCUGAUCAAAGCCUUAUCUUUAUGGUGGAAGAUGCUUGGAAAAACAAGGUCCCUGGUCAGGUUGGAAGAGAAAAAUACCACACUCCCACAAACGAGGCAGAAUCAGGAGGAGUUUUAAUUAUCAAAAUGGUCUGAGGAGCCGGGAAGAAAGCAAAAUGAUACAAAUCAGAGAAGAGGCGGAGGAAAUGGAUCAUGGAGGAGAGGCGGGAAAGAUUCGGAAGGGAACCGCUUGAUCUUUAGUAAAAGUAGUGAGUCAAAUUCACCAGGCACGCCUGUUAAGCCGUGCGCAAAACAAAACGUUUUUUUUUUUU